UGACGAUGAGACCGGCAAAAUAAACGAAGCUAAAUUGCGCACAGACGUCGACUUUCUCCGUGAAGGUGAGAUGCUGCUGGAAGGACAGUGAGGUAAAAAGCUGCUGAUAAUCGGCCUACUCCGUCGCCACAGCGCCCUCCAUCGGUGGGCCGAUGAAGGGCGUGGUCUGCAUCCGUCUCUUUAAAGUGGUACCCACAGCCUCAGCAUCUCUGAGCGGAGGCUUUUAAAAGUCCGGUGUGUAACAUAUAAGAGGGUUUAUUGGCACGAAUUAUACUACAACUGUGUUUGUAUCAGGGCCGGCCCUGCGCAUUUUGUUGCCCUAGGCGAGAUUAGGAUUCAGUGCUGACCCCAAUGAGAUGUCAUAAAACACUAUAUAGUAUGGUAGUCAGCAGUGAAGUUGAUGAUAGAAGUAGCACUUUUUGAUAAAUAAGAUAAAGAUAUUCUGCAUAGUACUAAAUAAUAGUAAAUGGUAAUAAAAUAAAUAAAUAUUGUGAAUGGUUGCAUUACAGAGCAUUAAAAUUUGACACGCCUUAAUGUCCA